UACGGGGGGGGCAAGCGUUGUUCGGAAUUACUGGGCGUAAAGGGCUCGUAGGUGGCCAACUAAGUCAGACGUGAAAUCCCUCGGCUCAACUGAGGAACUGCACAGGAAACUGCUUGGCUUGAGUUCGGGAGAGGGAAGCGGAAUUCCGGGUGUAGCGGUGAAAUGCGUAGAUAUCCGGAGGAACACCGGUGGCGAAGGCGGCUUCCUGGACCGACACUGACGCUGAGGCGCGAAAGCGUGGGGAGCAAACAGG
rnacentral:rRNA from 1 species